GAGACUUUUAAUUACCAGUCUUUCCUGAGUUUAUGUAGCUAUUGCAAGUCUUUGCUUAGAGAAAAUAUUCUUUUAAUCCCCUUUUCCUAAAGUGAGGGUGUUGAAAUAGGAGUUGGCACACAUAAAUAGAAGAGAAACUUCCCAGAGGGGACUGAUUAUCUGCAAGAUGUCCGGAGGCUGAAAUUUCCUUUGUGUUAAAAGCAUUAUGAUAGAGAAGCUCCCAGAGCUUACACCCGGGGCGCCUGACUGGCUGAAAAAAUUUGCUGAUGGUGACUGGCUUGAAGCGUUAAGUAUCAUGUAGUCUCUGAAGGAAACUGACACGGAAGUGGCGUCCUCAGGUUUGAUGCUGGUGGCACUCUAGCUACAUAUUAAGGAUGAAUCUACUGUAGCAAAGAGAAUUAUACUUCAUUAAAUUGCUUUUGGGUGCAACUCAGUCAUUUUUGAGGAAAAACAAAACCCAACAUAGCUGCUUCUUUUCUUCUUUGGAGGCACAGAUAUGAAAGUGGAGGGUCCCUUCCCUAACCCUGAAUAUCCUUUGAGUGUACCACCGUAAAAGGCCUGAAUCAGUCGUGGAAAGAUUCAUUCAGAAAUGAAGAAAUCAGAGUGUGGAUUACUCAUAAGAAGCAGAAUUAGAUGUCUGGGUGUCUUUGAUGCAUCACUCUUGCUGUGACAGAUUCUUCAUAAACAUAGCAAACUGAAUAUGAUACUGUAAAUAACCUAAAGAAAUUAUGCUUAUAAAUGUGCAUCUGCUGUGGUCUUGGCUCAUCCUUAUUUUGGAUGCUAAAACAUCCCCUGUAGUGUAGAGCUUUUCUUGCAGUUCUAUUCUUGGACUACUAGAGGUUGUCUCUUACAGAUUAAAGGUACAGAAAUUAUAAAACCAUUAUUUGCCUUAGUCUGAUCGUUCAUGCAACAGCAUAGGCGGUUUUUGGAUUUAUCAGUAUGACACUGGACUGACAUAAACUAGUAGUGGGAAAGUAGUGUGAAGUCUUAAUUGAAAAUGUCUCUUAAAUGAGUCCACACACUGCUAGUAGUAACUGGAGGAGGACAAGGUUGUGACCUUGUGCUGAUUUCAUCGCGUUGCCCCACCCCAAAUGCAGCUGUGCAAUGGGUGACACCAUAGCACUGCACUAGUCCAAAUGAAACAGAGCAGUGCCAAUCCUUCCACCAACCCCCAAGUUUUCUGUACAAGUUUUAGGACCUGCUUGCAGGGCUGGGUGCCAGUUAACUGAAGCUCACCCAGAAUUGCCUUCAUUAAAUCCACAGUGAAAUGAAAAUAUAUUACAAAGGUAAAAAAUGAAUAAAUAUGAUACUUAAAUUGAAAUAGUGAAAAAUAUUGCGUGUUGAACCAGCAAGUCAUAAACCACCCCUUUCGCUGCUGCUUAAGUUUAUAAAGUUAUGCUGCAUUUGGAGUUAGAUUUGCAUAACCCUAAAACUCCAAAUGUGAUGCGAUAGUGUAAGGAGUUUUUCAGAUCUUUCUAACACUCUGCCUUUUUGGAAGUGGCUUGGAUGGGUCUGUCUGUUCCAGUAAUGUUUGCUUCUGAGGGAACCUGCUAAACAGUAAUAAGUAACACAGAGGAUUUGUAUAAGAAAGGGCGGAGCAGACUCUUUUUUAUCUUAGGAGAUAUCACUCCUUUAAUGUAAGCAGUGACAUCCCUUACAUGUUCUGUAACUUUAUGAUGGCCAGUGUGAUUUUCUACACUGCUGUGUGCCUGGCUGGCAACAUAAUUUCAACAGAGUCCCGACAACUGAUGAAGUAAGCAGGCUGACACUGUGAAGUAGUAAUGAACACGCACUUCAGACGUCCUCUCUGGACAACACCGCCAGCCUUCCAAACACUCAGGCAUCCUGCCAACAUUGCCAGUGUGAAAAGGCGCUAUAUAGGCGCCCAACCUGACACAGACUGGACACAGAGGCACACGUAAAAUAAAUAAACUAU